rnacentral:rRNA from 1 species
AUACGGAGGGAGCAAGCGUUAUUCGGAAUCACUGGGCGUAAAGGACGCGUAGGCGGGUUUGUAAGUCAGGUGUGAAAUCCUACAGCUCAACUGUAGAACUGCACUUGAAACUACAGACCUAGAGUAUGGAAGGGGCAGAUGGAAUUAGUGGUGUAGGGGUAAAAUCCGUAGAUAUCACUAGGAAUACCGAAAGCGAAGGCGAUCUGCUGGGACAUUACUGACGCUGAGGCGUGAAAGCGUGGGGAGCAAACAGGAUUAGAUACCCCGGUAGUCC